GCCACAGGCAGCGGCUGAGCCCUGGGCAGCCAUUGUGAGCAGCAGCCAGACACAGACGUAUAAAUAUAGCUCAGUGCUGUGAUGUUAAAAUGCUGAUCCUGGCCUGAAUCUUACAAGCUGGAGUGUACACCAUUCCUUUGGGAGAAGCAGACUGGUACUUCUGUGAAUGUUCAAUAGAUAACAGGAUGGACACGACAAAGAGACUUCAAAGGGACUCAGGGGCUGGGGUGCACCUUUGGUUACCUGCAAGGCAAACUACACAGAGGAGGAUUGAUGUCCAGACUCAACUUUCAAGGCAAUAUGGUUCCAGGAAAGGAGUUUUAUACUAGGAGAGUUUUCAAGAUAACAACUAUAGGCUUGGGCAGUAAGAGGGAACUGUGUUUUAAGCAGUUAGAUUGGAGAUAGAGCCCAAGAAGGACAGGUACCAAGACACCUAUUUCUUGAUGAAAGAACAGAGGCACAGUAGCUGAGACUUCUAUAAGAGAGAUUUGCCUGUGGCCCCGAUUCUGCACCCAUCCAAGUCAAUGGGAGUUGUAACCACCUUGUUGUGAGGUUAGUUAUGACCUGUUUCAGGAAACAGGACCUGUGGGAAUUUUGCA